rnacentral:lncRNA from 1 species
AACAUUGAGCCGCAAUGCAAAGAUGUGGGCCCCCAUGCCUGUGUGGCGGUGCCGGUGGCGAGCAGCGGCGAGUGGGGGUGCGCAGCCAGAGCCGACAGGUUGCGGCUGGUCGCGCUCGCAUUCACAGUCUUCCACACUCCCAGCGCGCCUGUGCCGCCGCCUGCCGUUGCGCCGGUGCCGGGGACGGCGGCGGAUGCGUCUCCAAGCAUGCGGAAGUCGAUCAUCUUCAUCUCGCCGUCGGCUGCCGCCGUCACCAGCUGGUCCUUCAGGCCGCCGGGCUCCAACGCCAUUCCCACC